rnacentral:tRNA from 1 species
GGUGUGAUGGCGGAAAUGGCUAACGCGCGUGGCUGCAGUCCACGAGACUUCCGGUUCGAGUCCGGAUCGCACCU